UACGGAGGAUGCAAGCGUUAUCCGGAUUGAUUGGGCGUAAAGCGUCUGUAGGUGGUUACGCUAGUCGGCUGUGAAAUCCCGAGGCUCAACCUCGGGUCUGCAGUCGAUACGAGCAAACUAGAGUGUUGCAGGGGAGACUGGAAUUCCUGGUGUAGCGGUGAAAUGCGCAGAUAUUAGGAAGAACACCAGUGGCGAAGGCGGCUCACUGGUCCGGUACUGACGCUGAGGUGCGAAAGCGUGGGGAGCAAACAGG
rnacentral:rRNA from 1 species